GCAAACCGUACAUCGAUUCAAGUACUUUGGACCUCAUUCCCUGACGACCUUUAACCUGGAAUGACACUUCCUGUGACAAAUAACCACCAGUAAACAAUUCAUUUAUAAAGAUGGACAUUAAAACUUUUAUUUUAUUUAAUAACAUUUUCCCGGCCACAACAAUAAAAUUUAACAAAUAAUCACUAAAAAAAAAAAAAAAAAAGUGUGACCUUCCAUUAGCUGUACAUUACAUACACUAUAGUAAAACUGACCAAGCUUAAAACCCACUACAACAUUCAUGUAGUGCUUCCAGCAGCAUUUCACCAAAGACAAAGACAUUAUACAUAUGUACAUCGUACGUGGCUGUGGUACAGAGUACUAACAUCUAUCAACGUUGUUGCACGGUUCAAGAUUCUGUUUUCUUACUUCCUUCUUCUGAAAGUUGUGUAGUAGAACUCUAGAGACUGUCUUCUAAAAGUUGUGUAGUCGAACUCUAGAGACUGUCUUCUGAAAGUUGUGUAGUAGAACUCGAGAGUCUUCUAAAAGUUGUGUAGUAGAACUCUAGAGACUGUCUUCUAAAAGUUGUGUAGUAGAACUCUCGAGAGUCUUCUAAAAGUUGUGUAGUAGAACUCUAGAGACUGUCUUCUAAAAGUUGUGUAGUCGAACUCUAGAGACUGUCUUCUAAAAGUUGUGUAGUAGAACUAGAGACUGUCUUCUAAAAGUUGUGUAGUAGAGCUCUAGAGACAGUCUUCUAAAAGUUGUGUAGUAGAACUAGAGACUGUCUUCUAAAAGUUGUGUAGUAGAACUCUAGAGACUGUCUUCUAAAAAGUUGUGUAGUAGAACUAGAGACUGUCUUCUAAAAGUUGUGUAGUAGAACUCUAGAGACUGUCUUCUAAAAGUUGUGUAGUAGAACUAGAGACUGUCUUCUAAAAGUUGUGUAGUAGAACUAGAGACUGUCUUCUAAAAGUUGUGUAGUAGAACUCUAGAGACUGUCUUCUAAAAGUUGUGUAGUAGAACUAGAGACUGUCUUCUAAAAGUUGUGUAGUAGAGCUCUAGAGAGUCUUCUAAAAGUUGUGUAGUAGAACUAGAGACUGUCUUCUAAAAGUUGUGUAGUAGAACUCUAGAGACUGUCUUCUAAAAGUUGUGUAGUCGAACUAGAGACUGUCUUCUAAAAGUUGUGUAGUAGAGCUCUCGAGAGUCUUCUAAAAGUUGUGUAGUAGAACUCUAGAGACUGUCUUCUAAAAGUUGUGUAGUAGAACUCUAGAGACUGUCUUCUAAAAGUUGUGUAGUAGAACUCUAGAGACUGUCUUCUAAAAGUUGUGUAGUAGAACUCUAGAGACUGUCUUCUAAAAGUUGUGUAGUAGAACUCUAGAGACUGUCUUCUAAAAGUUGUGUAGUAGAACUCUAGAGACUGUCUUCUAAAAGUUGUGUAGUAGAACUCUAGAGACUGUCUUCUAAAAGUUGUGUAGUAGAGCUCCCGAGACAGUCAAGAGUUAAAAUUCUUACAAGUAGCAAAAAAAAGUAUUUAAAAAUUAUUUUUUUUAAAUUCUAAACAUUUACAAUAUAGUCAAAUGCUUGAUUCUGCCACAGCUAUGUUACCUUACCGUGGAGUAGCACAUUGGGCUGACUGACACACCAACUAUAGACUGCAGAUUGUGAUAGGACAGUUGACACUGCACUGAAAAGAAGCUACAUCCAACCGUGUGGAGCACACAGAGGUUUGGAGUUGUGCUACGACGUUCAGACAGUGGUGUAAUAAAAUAAACACUGUACUCCAUCUCCCUACUUCCUUCUCAGCUGAAGACAAGCAUUCUCCAGACAGAUAGAUAGAUAUGGCCCUUGAAUGACCAAAAGUGGUUUGAGUGCCUUAUUUUUUUACUCAGAAAAAUAAGAGUCAAAAUCCACUGGCUUCAUUUCCUCAUAGCCACAAACGUAGAAAGAAAUGCACUUUGGUAUGUAACCAAAUGCCCUGGGUUAUUCACAUCACAAUAAGAAGAGAUAUCUAUCACAACAGUCUGAGGUAAAGAUUCAAAUGUAUUUUUGUCCUUCUCUCUGGGAGUAAUAAAAUGAAGCUAACAGCUAUAACCCCUUGAAUUGUUUUGAUGUUAAGACAAGACAGAGGCUGUCAGUUCCUCAACCCUUUCAGAGCAUAAGGUGAUUGCUUCUUACUAAGCGUUCCCUGUUGGCAAAGGGUGUUUCCAGGUGAGAGUUAGUCAUCCCAAAAGAUCUGACGCUCUGUCUCGAAACUGCACGGCUGUUUCCCCGAAAUGGCACCCUAUUCCCUAUAUAGUGCACUACUUUUGACCAGAGCCCUAUCAAAAGUAGUGCACUAUAUAGGGAAUAGGGUGCCAUUGUGGAUGUAGCCCAUGUAAUACCUGUCAUUGUGCGGCCGCUUGGCUUUCUCCUCGCUACCACAUCAGAGGUUAAGCCAGGAAGACUGUCUUUGGGCUUGAAGAAAACAUCCAUGAAAAUGACUGUAAACAUUUCAAACAUCUGCGAAAUGGAUGUAUGUUCAGGGGAGAUGUGCUGUAGGGAGGUGUAGGGGAAUGAAGUCAUUAUGUUACUGGUCUUGGGUUACUAAAUGAAUGGCAUUAAUAACCAAAGGCACAUUGUAUUCGACCUAAGGACACGAUUCCUCCCGACUAUCAAUCCACAAAAUAACUACAAUAAAAAAAGUCAAAAGAACGUUGUGACCCCGCCCCCUGUCCCGCCCCUCCCCACUGAUGUUCUCCAAUCAGCAGGCGGCAAUGGGUUCCAAAGGGGGCGGGGCUACUGAGCAGUGUGCAGCUGGCAGGCACUGAACCAAUCAUCAGCGGGGCAGGCCGGGGCUCUACUCCCUGACCUGAUGAGGUCACCAGGUCGUCCAUCCAAUCCCCAGCCAGCCACACCUGUUCUGAACUCCAAUCAAACAGAGUCUUCUGCUCCGUGUCCUGGAGCCUCCAAUUAUCCACACAGUGACAGUCUGAUAGGAUCCCAUAGUAUAGUUCUUGUGCAUUAGGUCAUAAGUGGCUCCGUGGUUACCGACCGACCAACCAGACAACAACACAACAUUCUGUUCUAUUCAGCCCUAAGUUCAGUUUCAUAUCUUUUAGAUUGCCUCUUUUAUUUGACAAUAUUGUUUUAUGUGAAAUAAAUAAGUACAACUUUGACAAAAGCUUUAAAGAAGCCUUAGUGUGAUUUAUGGUUAACUAAUAAAAACCUUUGUCAAACACUAGAAAAUGUAGAAAAUCUGAAGGUUCAACACAUUUGGGGAAAAUGUUCAUUACUAGGUUUAGGAGUCUGUUUUACAGGUUGCCUUCCACAUAAAGCAAAGGGGAUAUGGGAACACUUUUUUUGGCUGUGCAAGGGAACAAGCGUUUUAGGAAUUUACACUCUGGCCAGAGACACGUAUCGGGUUCACUACUGAAAAUAUUAUUAAAGAAACGAACAUAUGAAAAAUAAAACUCUACAGUUGCAACAGUCAACAUGGUAUAAACUAAGCAAUUCAAAAAGCUACAUGAGUCAACCUUAAGUCCUGAUUAAUCAGAGUGCUUUAUAAUCACGUGUUAUAACACUAACUGCCUUUCACUACAACCCGGAGUAUUACUGAGACCACCCGGGCUCUGAAGAACUAUUCAGAAUUACUGAGACCAGCCGGGCUCUGAAGAGCUAUUCAGUAUUACUGAGACAACCCCAGGUUCUGAGGAACACCUUCUAGUCAGUAUUACUGAGACAACCCCAGGCUCUGAGGAACACCUUCUAGUCAGUAUUACUGAGACAACCCCAGGCUCUGAGGAACACCUUCUAGUCA
ensembl:lncRNA